rnacentral:lncRNA from 1 species
CCCAGCCCACAAGUAGGAUUGUGACAUGUGACUCAGGGGUGACUCAGGAAGAGGUGAGCCCUCUGAGAAGAGCAUCUGCAAGCAUCCGUCCGUGAGCCCAGGCUGCAUCCUGCGGAGGAAUCUAUGCUUCAGAGAGAGGUAGCAGGAGGCAGCUUGCAGGGCCCGUGGGCUAGAAGAACUGAAUGUCUGCAAAGUUCCAGCACGCCCAGCCCUAAGGAUGAGCAUCCAUGUGCCAUGCACUUUGCUGGCGACUUCGCAUUCUACUAGGAAUCUUUACAACAGCCGCUUGAGGGUCCUUUGUACAAGAGAGGAACCUGAAGCUCCGAGAGCUGAAAGAAAUUGCCAAAGGAAAAGGGAGAGCCGGGUCCUCAGGUUCUGGUCCUCAGGCUCCAAAGCUUCCGUGUUUUAUCUUGAAAAGAGAAAUUUGACUUGGAUCUGCUAUUUCCCCUCCGUUACCAAUUUAAGGAAGCCCCCCAGCCCCCACACCAUAUCAGGGAGCAAGUUCAGGCUGAAAGAGUCCAGAGCAGAGAAUAACCUCAGAGGUGGCCAGAUCUUGGACAUCCUGGAAGAGACUUGUGCAGGGCAGCACCUAUGGUGGGAAGAGAUGCAGGGGAAGAAAGAGGAGUUCGAGACCAGCCUUCCAACACGGUGAAACCUCAUCUCUACAAAAAAUACCAAAAAUUAGCCCGGCAUGGUGGCACAUGUCUGUUGUAAUCCCAGCUACUUAGGAGGCUGGAGCAUGAGAAUCACUGGAACCCGGGAGGUGGAGGUUGCAGUGAGCUCAAAUCAAAGACUCCGUCUC